ACUGGAGAAAAUUCGGCAAGAUUUUACUACAUAGUUAGCAUUGAUUACCUACACCCCAUCCCACAUACAAGGAGGAGAACGCUGUUGAUGCUAGCAAUGCUACAUUAUAACACUGUUUCCUCCACAGCUCCAUGACUUUUCUUUCAGACAUGCUCUUCCUUAUCCAAAUGACUGAUCUAAACAUCAGCUCCAUGAUGCAGCCUUCCCUGUUUCCCAGACAGAGGUAAUCAACUGUAUCUGCGAUUCUUGGCAGUGCCACUGUUGUUGGAGAAGUGCUUUGGUGUGCCUUGGGUUGCAGAUUCUCCGAAGGAGAGGACAGUGCUCCUAAUGUGUGGUAAAAUUUGAGCUACCCUCUCAGAGUAAAGAAGCUGAAAUAAACAGGACCUUCCGAGUUUUAUCAACUCCUUUCCUGGAGGGAAGGGUGACUUCUUCACAGAAGAAACAGAUGGAAAGAAGGAAGUGGCAUCCAGCAGAAAUAAAGAGAUUGGUUUCGUUGGCACCGAGGAGACCUGAGAUGGAGCCAAGCUUGUCCACAGGAAGCGAGCACCUACACACAGAAUCUGGAGAAGGGAGUGCUGGGGGGCAGUGCUCUGAAGAGAUGUCUCGGGAAGCAUGGCCAAGAGCAAAUGAUCUGCAGAGGGCAAAGAAAGGGAAGAUGUUGACGUUCCAGAAAGGAAGGGGCCCAGAGGAGACAACAAGACAUAAUUAUAAAGCCUCAGGCAUUAGAAAAGACCCACAGACAACUGUCUCUGUCUGAGGUUGCUGUCGACUCCCUUGCCUUGCUUUACUGAGAGCACACAUAGUUAAAAGGAGGAGAAAUUUUGCCCUGCUGGCUCUUCUUUUCUUCAGACCCGUCUUGGAAAUCGUUUGCACCUCUCUGAAGUAAAAUCCUUGAACUGACUCUGCCUACCUGAGACUUAUGUAUUUGUGCCUUGCGACUCUGAGUGACCCAUUCCGUGUCUGUAACAUCUCCUCUACCCAAGUUUGCACAACUUUACUAUCAAAAAGAUAGUAACUUGAGUCUUAGACUUCAUUAUAAGGGAUGUCAGUUGCUGUAGAUUUGAUUAUAAGGGAUGCCAGCUGCUUCUCUGAAAGCAUCAUCUCUGCACCCCUGGAUAUCUCCAUCUCUUCCCAAAGUAUGCGACAGCAUCUCCUUACUACAGAAAGAGUGUUGCUAAGGAGCACUUUCCUGUGCUUGCUCCAUGAUAACAGUACCAUCAAUACAAACACUUGUGAGCUAUAAUUGAUUCCUAUCUGUGGUUAGCUAGGGGGCCUUCCUUAAUACCCAACACAGCCGAUCUAGAAAACAGUGUGGCUUGAGGUGAAUCAACAUUGUAGAAACUUCUGCUAAAAACUAUGUACUGCCAUUAAACACACUCACAUGUUGCUAGCAAAUAAAUACUCUUCAGACAAUUGAAUUCAAUUACCCUACAAUUGAAACAAUACUAAGUUAGAAAAAGCAGCAUUUUAACUGUCAUUGCUGGGCAUCUCCCCAGCCUACCAUUUUAUUUCUUCACAUGAAAACAUUCAUUUUCUACCUCUAGCAGGGUUAUUUGGGACUUGAGAACUAAAUUACAUUCAAAAUUCUAUAGUAGCACAAUUUGUCUGAAAUGAUAGAGGAUAGCCAAAAAAAAAAAAGUGUAAGUAAGUCACAUGGUAGCAGACACUUAUACAAUCAAAUGAGUAACCUAAAGGUGAAAUCUCCUUUUUUAUUAUUUUUCCUGUGCCUAAAAAUUCAAAGGUGCUCAAAUCCGUUAUCCGGUUUCUUACAUGGUACCUCACGCAUUAAUGUGUGGUGCAUCUUCUAUGUACGUGGUAUCUUUCCAUAUCGAGGAUCUCAACCUCUGGGACACACCUUUGCAUCUGCAGCACUUUAACGGUGGUGUGCCAAAUUAAGUUUAACAAAAUCACAGGCUCCAAUGUGUCCCCAGCAGGCUGAGCAUUUUUACUGCCAUUGAUAGGGAAAUGAAAGGAUUUGUGUGAAUAUUCUCUGUGUUUGUAACAGGAUCAGAGCUCACCUCUGGGUUAGACCUUGCCUUUGAAUAAUUGGGACCCCAAGGAACUUAGCAUAUUUUGCUUACCUAACAUGUUAAAUAUAUACCUUGCUCUUUCUAUUGGAAUACAUUGUCUUAAUGGAACAAUAAACAUCUAUUUAUUUUUGUCUUAGCCAAGAAACGCCUAUAAACCUGGAUGAGGCAGCUCCUGGAAGCACACUAAAGUUCAUGGCAGUAAAUUUGGUUACUCCAAAAGGUCAGAUUAUCAGAAGGGUCAUUCAUUAGUUGCCGGCUUUGUUUGCAGCCUGGGAAAGGCAUGGAGGAAUCCCACCAAGGAGCUCUUCACAGAGCUCAGGAAGGGGCAGAAUGGAGCCUUCCUACCACCCAGACCCACAUCCAGGGCUUUGAGUUGGCCCAUCCCAACAUCUGUUAUCUAUGACAGGUGGACAGAUGUGAAGGAACUGGUCCUGUGGAAGGAACCACGGUCACAGGAUCUCCAUGACUCAGGGCAACAGCAGGAUAUGUGAGAGGAGUUUCGAUGAGGCGAUAUUGAUGGUGUACCAGAAGCCAGAGGCCUUGCACCAGACCAACAACUCAUUACACA